UGGGGAAUUUUGGACAAUGGGCGAAAGCCUGAUCCAGCAAUGCCGCGUGUGUGAAGAAGGCCUUCGGGUUGUAAAGCACUUUUGUCCGGAAAGAAAUCCUUGGCUCUAAUACAGUCGGGGGAUGACGGUACCGGAAGAAUAAGCACCGGCUAACUACGUGCCAGCAGCCGCGGUAAUACGUAGGGUGCAAGCGUUAAUCGGAAUUACUGGGCGUAAAGCGUGCGCAGGCGGUUUGCUAAGACCGAUGUGAAAUCCCCGGGCUCAACCUGGGAACUGCAUUGGUGACUGGCAGGCUAGAGUAUGGCAGAGGGGGGUAGAAUUCCACGUGUAGCAGUGAAAAUGCGUAGAGAUGUGGAGGAAUACCGCUGGCGAAAGGCAGCCCCCUGGGCCAAUACUGACGCUCAUGCACGAAAAGCGUGGGGAGCAAAACAGGAUUAGAUACCCUGGUAGUCCACGCCCUAAAACGAUGUCAACUAGUUGUUGGGGAUUCAUUUCCUUAGUAACGUAGCUAACGCGUGAAGUUGACCGCCUGGGGAGUAACGGUCGCAAGAUUAAAAACUCAAAUGAAUUGACGGGGUCAUAGCUGUUUCCU
rnacentral:rRNA from 1 species